AGUGAACGCUGGCGGCAGGCCUAACACAUGCAAGUCGAACGGAAGCACUGUAAGAGCUUGUGCUUACAGGUGCCGAGUGGCGGAUGAGUGAGGAAUACAUGGGUAUCACCUGGUUAGCGGGGCCGAACGUAGGGGAUAAUACGCUAAAACAGCUGAUGACCUACGGGAGCAAUCAUUGGAUCUUCGGAACUAGGUCGAUUGUAUGUGCCGAUGUCGUAUUAGCUAGUUGGUGGGGUAAAGGCCCACCAAGGCGACGAUCCGUAGCUGGUCUGAGAGGUUGAUCAGCCACACUGGAACUGAGACACGGUCCAGACUCCUACGGGAGGCAGCAGUGGGGAAUAUUGGACAAUGGGCGAAAGCCUGAUCCAGCCAUGCCGCGUGGGUGAAGAAGGCCUUCGGAUUGUAAAGCCCUUUUGUUGGGGAAGAAAGGCAGUAGGUUAAUACCUUGCUGUUUUGACGGUACCUAAAGAAUAAGCACCGGCUAACUUCGUG
rnacentral:rRNA from 1 species